rnacentral:misc_RNA from 1 species
UUUCCGUAGGUGAACCUGUGGAAGGAUCAUUAAUGAGUUGUCAUGGGGUUCGAUGCUGGCAGCCAGUUUUUGGAUGCAUGUGCUUGCCCUAACAAUCAUCUUCUUCCAAACACCUGUGCACAUUUUUGAGGGAGUCUUGGGUUGGUUGCCGCUCUUGGGUGAUUUUCUCACAUUCCCUAAAAUCAUUAUACGCUAUUAACAAUGUUGAACGUACUCUGUGCCGCAAGGCCAUUAAUAUAAUACAACUUUUAACAACGGAUCUCUUGGCUCUCGCAUCGAUGAAGAACGCAGU